rnacentral:lncRNA from 1 species
UAUGAUUCUCCCACUACGACUAAGCACUACAUAAUCACACUUUCAUGAUCUUGAGUCUUAAUAUUUUCUUCAAAAUCUUUCGAUAUUGAAAUAUUAACAACUUUUCAUGUAGUGUUCUUCAAUUUGCUCAACAUCACUUCCACUACUUGAGAUAGUAGUUUUCUUAUGUCUAGCAACAUUUCUCCCACUACUUAAAUGCAAUGGAACGUCAUUU